rnacentral:rRNA from 1 species
AGAGUUUGAUCAUGGCUCAGAUUGAACGCUGGCGGCAGGCCUAACACAUGCAAGUCGAGCGGUAGAGAGAAGCUUGCUUCUCUUGAGAGCGGCGGACGGGUGAGUAAUGCCUAGGAAUCUGCCUGGUAGUGGGGGAUAACGCUCGGAAACGGACGCUAAUACCGCAUACGUCCUACGGGAGAAAGCAGGGGACCUUCGGGCCUUGCGCUAUCAGAUGAGCCUAGGUCGGAUUAGCUAGUUGGUGAGGUAAUGGCUCACCAAGGCGACGAUCCGUAACUGGUCUGAGAUGAUGAUCAGUCACACUGGAACUGAGACACGGUCCAGACUCCUACGGGAGGCAGCAGUGGGGAAUAUUGGACAAUGGGCGAAAGCCUGAUCCAGCCAUGCCGCGUGUGUGAAGAAGGUCUUCGGAUUGUAAAGCACUUUAAGUUGGGAGGAAGGGCAGUUACCUAAUACGUAUCUGUUUUGACGUUACCGACAGAAUAAGCACCGGCUAACUCUGUGCCAGCAGCCGCGGUAAUACAGAGGGUGCAAGCGUUAAUCGGAAUUACUGGGCGUAAAGCGCGCGUAGGUGGUUUGUUAAGUUGGAUGUGAAAUCCCCGGGCUCAACCUGGGAACUGCAUUCAAAACUGACAAGCUAGAGUAUGGUAGAGGGUGGUGGAAUUUCCUGUGUAGCGGUGAAAUGCGUAGAUAUAGGAAGGAACACCAGUGGCGAAGGCGACCACCUGGACUGAUACUGACACUGAGGUGCGAAAGCGUGGGGAGCAAACAGGAUUAGAUACCCUGGUAGUCCACGCCGUAAACGAUGUCAACUAGCCGUUGGGAGCCUUGAGCUCUUAGUGGCGCAGCUAACGCAUUAAGUUGACCGCCUGGGGAGUACGGCCGCAAGGUUAAAACUCAAAUGAAUUGACGG